CUACACCUCCUGGAUCUUGGUGUUUUGCUUAACACAUGCAUAAAGACCUAGACUUAUCUUUAUUUCCUCCAAUGCUUACCAUAAUGACCUAGACUUAGCUUCUUCUCCUCCAAAAUGACUUAAUAAGCUUACUGACCUCCAAAACCAUCCAUUUUACCUAAGUUAGCUCUAAAAUGAUAUGUACUUAGCUUACUUAUGUCAAAAAUUGCAUAAUUAGCUUAGUUAGCUCAUAGACGAUCCAUUUUACCUAAGUUAGCUCUAAAAUGACCCAUUUUACCUAGGUUAGCUUAUAAAUGAUCCAGUUCAUCCAAGUUAGCUAAAAAAUGACCCAUUUUACCUAGAUUAGCUCCUAAAUGAUCCAUUUUACCUACGUUAGCUUUAAAAUGACCCAUUUCACCUAGGUUAACUCCAAAAUGACCCAUCUUACCUAGGUUAUCUCAUCAACGAUCCAUUUCAACUAAUUUAGCUCAUAAACGAUCCAUUUCACCAAGUUAGCUAAAAAACGAUCCAUUUCACCUAAAUUAGCUCUUAAAUGAUCCAUUUCACCUAAGUUAGCUCAAAAAGAUCCAUUUCAACUAAAUUAGCUAAUAAAUGAUCCAUUUCACCUAAGUUAGCUCAAAAACGAUCCAUUUCAACUAAGUUAGCUCAUAAAUGAUCCAUUUCACCUAAGUUAGCUAAAAACGAUCCAUUUCACCUUAGUUACCUCAAAAAUGAUCCAUUUGACCUUAGUUAGCUCAUAAACGACCCAUUUCAACUAAGUUAGCUCAUAAAUGAUCCAUUUCACCUUAGCUAGCUCAUAAACGACCCAUUUCAACUUAGUUAGCUCAUAUAUGAUCCAUUUCACAUAAGUUAGCUCAUAAAUGACAUACUCUUCUUGUUCUAGUCUUCUUCUUGUUCUACUCUUCUUGUUCUACUCUUCUUCUUGUUCUACUCUUCUUCUUGUUCUACUCUUCUUGUUCUAACUUUCUUAUUUUUCAUUUUGCAGAUUUCAUUCACUUGACGAAAGCUUGCAUAGAUGGAGUGCUCCUUAUCCCUUUCUCUGUUUCUUUUGUAUUGUUGAACUAUGCAUGUAUCGUUGGAUGAAACUAUUGUAAUAUAUAUGGUUGGAUGCCUCUAUGUUGAACUUGUUAUGUAUGAUGGAACUAUGCAUGUAAUAUAUAUGGUUGGAUGAUGAAGUUAUGUGUUGGAUAUCUUAUAUGUUUGCUCUGUAAUGGCCUUUUGAAAUAUAUC
rnacentral:lncRNA from 1 species